ACAGCGGAAUCUGCCGAGCGGCGGCAGUCCAGUUCCGAUGUUCCCGCGCGGCGGUACGUGGCGAUCGAGAACGCGCUCGCCGCGUGUGUUUUCGUUAGUCGUUCCGAUCGUCUCGCGGCGUCCCGCCGACUGCGACAAGUCACGAUCGUUACGCGAAUGUGUUACGCGAGUGUUACGCGAGUGAACCCUAAGAUCGCGAUUCCGUUCGUAACGAUGACAAGUCCCCGCUUCGGGUUGUGAAUCAUGACUGCACAAGAUGCAUCGAGGAUCGUGUGCGUGAGCUAAGGACUCGGACCAUCUCUCGUGCACGCGAAGAGGGAUCUCGGACCUCGUCGUGGUGUUAUGACCACGUGUAUGUCGGCGUGCCUGUAAGACACAAGAAAACGACUGCCCGACGACGAGACCGCUGGUGAAUUAAAGGAUCCUUGAACGCGAACUUUGACGGCUCGAGUUCGCAUCGGGCGGAGGUGAACUAGAGCGAAGAGGAGCGCGCGAACAGGUUGCUCUCGCGAGCUACACCCACGUGCGCGCAUGCGGACGCACCUUAGCGG